GCAACGACUCUCGGCAACGGAUAUCUCG
rnacentral:rRNA from 1 species